GAUGAACGCUGGCGGCGUGCUUAACACAUGCAAGUCGAACGGGAAUUACUUUAUUGAAACUUCGGUCGAUUUAAUUUAAUUCUAGUGGCGGACGGGUGAGUAACGCGUGGGUAACCUGCCUUAUACAGGGGGAUAACAGUCAGAAAUGGCUGCUAAUACCGCAUCAGCGCACAGAGCUGCAUGGCUCGGUGUGAAAAACUCCGGUGGUAUAAGAUGGACCCGCGUUGGAUUAGCUUGUUGGUGGGGUAACGGCCCACCAAGGCGACGAUCCAUAGCCGGCCUGAGAGGGUGAACGGCCACAUUGGGACUGAGACACGGCCCAGACUCCUACGGGAGGCAGCAGUGGGGAAUAUUGCACAAUGGGGGAAACCCUGAUGCAGCGACGCCGCGUGAAGGAAGAAGUAUCUCGGUAUGUAAACUUCUAUCAGCAGGGAAGAUAGUGACGGUACCUGACGAAGAAGCCCCGGCUAACUACGUG
rnacentral:rRNA from 1 species